GCCAGAGUGGUAUAGUGGGUUGAAUGUUGGACUCUGACUCUGGAGAUCGGGGUUCAAAUCCCCGCUUGAGCG